rnacentral:lncRNA from 1 species
UUUUCUCUGCUUUUUGCCUUUCAUUCCCUAUUGUCUAAUUUACUUUCAGCUGCAGGCUUGUACAGCACAACACAUUUUGAGUACCACACAAGAUCAACACUAUGAGUAUGAGCCCAUAAUCCAAGAUGAUAAGAGAGAUACCCUUGGCUACGAAAGACGAGCAAAUUGAGUCACAAGAAGUUUAAAUGUCCCCAAAUUUCUCAUGGAGAGCACGGGGUCAUGAAGUUGAGUCAGAUCAUCUCUAUAGCCCCAGCCUGUGCCCCGAUCCACGCUACUGUUCCGUCUCUGGUCUAAAGGCACCUAAUGAUGACAAAGUCGUGAUUACUGACUCUUCAGAAUGAUGUGCUCCACAGGUGUCCAGUGGCUAUUGCCUUGGUCCAUAGUCUUCCAAACCACCUGGAAAGGCAGACAGCAUCUUCAUACUUUUAUAGGCAGCUUUCAAGCUCAUGUCAGAGACAAGAAUUUUGAGAGAAAAGGCUCUGAGCACCGUGAAAAAGAACCUUUGGGAAACCUAGAGCCACCUCUAUCUCAACAAUUG